rnacentral:rRNA from 1 species
UACGUAGGGUGCGAGCGUUAAUCGGAAUUACUGGGCGUAAAGCGUGCGCAGGCGGUUCGUUGUGUCGGUGGUGAAAUCCCCGGGCUUAACCUGGGAAUGGCCAUGGAAACUGGCAAACUGGAGUGCGGCAGAGGGGGGUGGAAUUCCGCGUGUAGCAGUGAAAUGCGUAGAGAUGCGGAGGAACACCGAUGGCGAAGGCAGCCCCCUGGGCUAGCACUGACGCUCAGGCACGAAAGCGUGGGGAGCAAACAGG